rnacentral:rRNA from 1 species
GUAGGUGGCAAGCGUUGUCUGGAAUUAUUGGGCGUAAAGCGCGCGCAGGCGGUUCUUUAAGUCUGAUGUGAAAGCCCACGGCUCAACCGUGGAGGGUCAUUGGAAACUGGAGAACUUGAGUACAGAAGAGGAAAGCGGAAUUCCACGUGUAGCGGUGAAAUGCGUAGAGAUGUGGAGGAACACCAGUGGCGAAGGCGGCUUUCUGGUCUGUAACUGACGCUGAGGCGCGAAAGCGUGGGGGAGCAAACAGGAUUAGAUACCCUGGUAGUCCACGCCGUAAACGAUGAGUGCUAAGUGUUAGGGGGUUUCCGCCCCUUAGUGCUGCAGCUAACGCAUUAAGCACUCCGCCUGGGAGUACGGCCGCAAGGCUG